rnacentral:rRNA from 1 species
GUGCCAGCAGCCGCGGUACUACCGGCAGCUCGAGUGAUGGCCGAUCUUAUUGGGCCUAAAGCGUCCGUAGCUGGCCUCGCAAGUCCGUCGGGAAAUCCAGUAGCCCAACUACUGGGCGUCCGGCGGAAACUACAAGGCUUGGGACCGGAAGGCUCGAGGGGUACGUCCGGGGUAGGAGUGAAAUCCCGUAAUCCCGAACGGACCACCGAUGGCGAAAGCAUUUCGAGAAAACGGAUCCGACAGUGAGGAACGAAAGCCAGGGUCUCGAACCGGAUUAGAUACCCGGGUAGUCC